rnacentral:rRNA from 1 species
AUUGAACGCUGGCGGCGUGCUUAACACAUGCAAGUCGUGCGGUAACAGGCGUAGCAAUACGUGCUGACGAGCGGCGAACGGGUGCGUAAUACAUGGGAAUCUGCCCUUUAGUGGGGAAUAACCCGGCGAAAGCCGGGCUAAUGCCGCAUAAGAUCUUCGGAUGAAAGCGGGGGAUCGUAAGACCUCGCGCUGAUGGAUGAGCCCAUGUCGGAUUAGCAGUUGGUGAGGUAAAGGCUCACCAAGGCGACGAUCCGUAGCUGGUCUGAGAGGACGGCCAGCCACACUGGGACUGAGACACGGCCCAGACUCCUACGGGAGGCAGCAGUGGGGAAUAUUGGACAAUGGGGAAACCCUGAUCCAGCGACGCCGCGUGUGUGAAGAAGGCCUGCGGGUUGUAAAGCACUUUCGGUGGGAACG